GAAAUGCGAUAAUUAAUGUGAAUUGCAGAAUUCAGUGAAUCAUCGAGUCUUUGAACGCACAUUGCGCCCCCUGGUAUUCCGGGGGGCAUGCCUGUCCGAGCGUCAUUGCUGCCCUCAAGCACGGCUUGUGUGUUGGGCUUCCGUCCCUGGCAACGGGGACGGGCCCAAAAGGCAGUGGCGGCACCAUGUCUGGUCCUCGAGCGUAUUGGGCUUUGUCACCCGCUCCCGUAGGUCCAGCUGGCAGCUAGCCUCGCAACCAAUCUUUUUAACCAGGUUGACCUCGGAUCAGGUAGGGAUACCCGCUGAACUUAAGC
rnacentral:misc_RNA from 1 species